UAGGGAAUCUUCCGCAAUGGGCGAAAGCUUGACGGAGCAACGCCGCGUGAGUGAUGAAGGUCUUCGGAUCGUAAAACUCUGUUAUUAGGGAAGAACAAAUGUGUAAGUAACUAUGCACGUCUUGACGGUACCUAAUCAGAAAGCCACGGCUAACUACGUGCCAGCAGCCGCGGUAAUACGUAGGUGGCAAGCGUUAUCCGGAAUUAUUGGGCGUAAAGCGCGCGUAGGCGGUUUUUUAAGUCUGAUGUGAAAGCCCACGGCUCAACCGUGGAGGGUCAUUGGAAACUGGAAAACUGGAGUGCAGAAGAGGAAAGUGGAAUUCCAUGUGUAGCGGUGAAAUGCGCAGAGAUAUGGAGGAACACCAGUGGCGAAGGCGACUUUCUGGUCUGUAACUGACGCUGAUGUGCGAAAGCGUGGGGAUCAAACAGG
rnacentral:rRNA from 2 species